rnacentral:lncRNA from 1 species
UCCUCUAUAUUUGUUGUGGGUGAGAAGUUAAUCAUCAUCUCAUUUUGUACAGGUCGAAAUUUUGCUGCUGCUGGAAUGACUCUCACGUUUUUAAUGAGGUACACAUUGCCUUCUUGAAUAAAUGACCUUAACUUUUCGAUAUAUGCCUUAUUGAUAACUCCAUGCAACAUUGUCCCCUUCAAUUGUAUUUGUAAUUAGCAUGUAGAUUGAAGCUAAAUCUUAUUAUCAAAAUAAUUCAAGCAAGGAUGUAAUUUCUAUGAGAGAACCAUUAUACCUCUUCAUCAAUAAGCACCAUGUCUAGACUAAGUAUUUCACCAUUACUGAUCAAUAUGGAAUCCCAUAGUCUCGACACUCUUGCCUUGAUUGUUAAUUCCUUUCCUCUACUGGAAGUAUUGAUCUGACAAAAGGUUUUGUAUGCCAUGAAAGACUUCGUCAUUGAAUUGCAACAUCGAAGAGAUAGUUAGGAUUACCUAUGAGGAUGCUUAUGUGAUCGAUACUUGUACAUGUGAGUUAUUUGUCCAAACCUGGGUGAUUAGAGCAGAUCAGAAAGGACGGCGGCCUGUUCGUGUUCGUGACGGAAGCGAGGGAAGGUGCUCUCCGUUGUUGGCGAUGAGAGAUGUUGUAGAAGCUGUUCUCCGCAGCGUGAAGCCGGAGACGCGUGCGAGAAGAAUUACGAUCUAUGGGAUGGCCUCACGUCAAGCAUAUAACCUGGAGAACGAAAAACACCUGAUGUGUACGUGAUGUAUAUAUUCACAAAUAUAUAUAUAUANNN